rnacentral:rRNA from 1 species
UAACUGCGUCGGAUGNACCUCGCCCUUUAGUGGGGAAUAACCAGGGGAAACUCUGGCUAAUACCGCAUAAGACCGAAAGGUGAAAGGGGGCCGCAAGGCUCUCGCUGAAGGAGGGGUCCGCGUCCGAUUAGCUAGUUGGUAGGGUAAUGGCCUACCAAGGCGACGAUCGGUAGCCGGCCUGAGAGGGUGAUCGGCCACACUGGAACUGAGACACGGUCCAGACUCCUACGGGAGGCAGCAGUGGGGAAUUUUGCGCAAUGGGCAAACGCCUGACGCAGCAACGCCGCGUGGAGGAUGAAGGUCUUUGGAUUGUAAACUCCUGUCAGCGGGGAAAAAGGGACCUGGGCUAAUACCCUAGGGACUUGAUUGUNCCCGCAGAGGAAGCCCCGGCUAACUCUGUGCCNGCAGCCGCGGUUAAUACAGAGGGGGCAAGCGUUAUUCGGAAUUAUUGGGCGUAAANGGNCGCGUAAGCCGGCUUUG